AUCGAACGCUGGCGGCAGGCCUAACACAUGCAAGUCGAGCGAGCGGCGGACGGGUGAGUAAUGUAUGGGGACUGCCCGAUAGAGGGGGAUAACUACUGGAAACGUUCGCUAAUACCGCAUACUAUCGGAUAACCCAUAUGGGAUUGGCUAGUAGGUAAGGUAACGGCUUACAUAGGCGACGAUCCCUAGCUGGUCUGAGAGGAUGAUCAGCAGCACUGAGAGUGAGACACGGCCCAGACACCUACGGAGGCAGCAGUAGGGAAUAUUGCACGAUGGACACAAGCCUGAUGCAGCCAUGCCGCGUGUAUGAAGAAGGGCUUCGGGUUGAAAAGUACUUUCAGUCGGGAGGCGUAGCCGACAGAAGAAGCACAGGAUAACUCCGUGCCAGCAGCCGCGGUAAUAC
rnacentral:rRNA from 1 species